GAGAGUCGAUAACACCCGAACGACCUGUGGGCUAACCUUUCAGGAGGCAGCAGUCGAAGGUGGGGUUGAUGAUUGGGGUGAAGUCGUAACAAGGUACC
rnacentral:rRNA from 1 species